rnacentral:rRNA from 1 species
UACGUAGGGUCCGAGCGUUGUCCGGAAUUACUGGGCGUAAAGAGCUCGUAGGUGGUUUGUCGCGUUGUUCGUGAAAACUCACAGCUUAACUGUGGGCGUGCGGGCGAUACGGGCAGACUGGAGUACUGCAGGGGAGACUGGAAUUCCUGGUGUAGCGGUGGAAUGCGCAGAUAUCAGGAGGAACACCGGUGGCGAAGGCGGGUCUCUGGGCAGUAACUGACGCUGGAGGCGCGAAAGCGUGGGGAGCAAACAGG